rnacentral:rRNA from 1 species
GACGAACGCUGGCGGCGUGCCUAAUACAUGCAAGUAGGACGCAGUUGCGAACGGGUGAGUAACGCGUGGGUGACUGCCUAUUAGAGGGGGGUAACUAUUGGAAACGAUAGCUAAUACCGCAUACUAGUAGAUGGACCUGCGUUGGAUUAGCUAGUAGGUUGGGUAAUGGCCUACCUAGGCGAAGAUACAUAGCCGACCUGGAAGGGUGAUCGGCCACACUGGGACUGAGAAACGGCCCAGACGCCUACGGGAGGCAGGAGUAGGGAAGCUUCGGCAAUGGGGGGAACCCUGACCGCGCAACGCCGCGGGAGUGAAGAAGGUUUUCGGAUCGUAAAGCUCUGUUGUUAAGGAAGCGGUACUUAACCAGAAAGGGACGGCUAACUACGUGCCAGCAGCCGCGGUAAUAC